UCGAUGUGCGAGCGAGCGAGAGAGAUCUUCAUUCUCUUUCUAAGGUUUUCUCUAGGGAUUUCACACCUCGAUCGUCCCUCCUCUUUUUUUCAUUUAAUUUUCUACAAAUCUCUUUGAUUUCUUCGAUCUUUGAAGAACCUGUCAAGACCUCGAUCUCUUUCUUCGCUUUUUCGCCUAGGGUUUCUGCUCCCAAUUCGUAGAUUUUACUCUUUUUUUUCUCGUCUUCAGCUUCAAUCUCUGUAAAAGAGAUGGAAUCCUUCUUCGCCGUUCCUUUCUAGGGUUCCUGCACGAGAUUUGCUGUUUUGUCCGUUGGGUUCCUGGACAAUACAUUCAAGAAGGUUGGGAGAAUGCAGCAGAGAUUGAAGCAGCAGCAACGGCAAAUUAAGCCCUCUGUUUUGUAGGAUCUGGAAGAAAGGAGAUGAGAUUUGAGAAAGUAGCUUCUUUCAAUCAAAUUGAGGUAAAAAAGGAAAAAGGAAGGGUGAUGAUGGAUUUUACAAUGGAUUACAAAGAUCCAGGGGCCAACACAAACCCUAGUGCUGGAUAUUUGUUCCCGCCUCCACCAACUCACCUUAAUCGUCCGUAAUUAAUAGUUUAUGCUUCCUAAUCAAAUAAGGCCUAGUGGGGUGACACGUGGUAGCUUAUUACACUGUCUCUGUUCAUUUCUAUUUUCUUAUUAUUUUUUGGGUAGGGAUAUUUGAAUGCAGUUUUAGCUUUUGCAAUGUCUAAUGACAAGGUCUUGUUUCUCUGUUGCAAACACGCUGAGUCGACUCAUUUACUGGUUAAAAAGCAUCCCUAAGUUAUGGAACGGCGGCCAUACUAUGGCAUAGUAUGAUGGA